rnacentral:rRNA from 1 species
UGGAGAUUUGAUCCUGGCUCAGAUUGAACGCUGGCGGCAUGCUUUACACAUGCAAGUCGAACGGCAGCACGGGAGCUUGCUCCUGGUGGCGAGUGGCGAACGGGUGAGUAAUGCGUCGGAACGUGCCGAGUAGAGGGGGAUAACGCAGCGAAAGUUGUGCUAAUACCGCAUAAGCUCUGAGGAGGAAAGCGGGGGACCGAAAGGCCUCGCGCUACUUGAUCGGCCGACGUCUGAUUAGCUAGUUGGUGGGGUAAAUGCCUACCAAGGCGAUGAUCAGUAGCGGGUCUGAGAGGAUGAUCCGCCACACUGGGACUGAGAAACGGCCCAGACUCCUACGGGAGGCAGCAGUGGGGAAUUUUGGACAAUGGGGGCAACCCUGAUCCAGCCAUGCCGCGUGUCUGAAGAAGGCCCUCGGGUUGUAAAGGACUUUUGUCGGGGAGCAAAACCUGCCUGUGAAUA